rnacentral:lncRNA from 1 species
CCACGAGGAGCGUCAGCCGCCAGCUGUCUAGAACUUCAGCCCCGAACCAUGGCUUUUAACCCCUGAACUCCCUCCCCCAGCUCACUCAGCAUUUCCUGGUCCCUGGCCUCCCCCUCUCCACCCCCAGUGGCUCAGCGGGAUGUCUCCAGGCACCCCCGACCUGGGCUUGGCCCUCUGCUUGGGGCGGAGCUUCCAGGACGUGCUGGGACCUAGGUCUGACCCCGCCCAAGGCAGAGUUGAACCCACUGUGAACUUUCAGGCCUCAGGACCCAAAAAAGGACACAAGGACACCCACAAUUAUCCCAUCAUCCUGCCUCCCUGCUCCCGCCAACCACCGGACACAAGAAGGAAAUCAUCAGCUGGGUGGAUAGAAAAUCAGCUCCCUCGGACUUGGAUGGGGGCAGAGAUGCGACCUGAGAAAGCAACAUUUUCCAGAAAUGGCCUUUUAGGAGCAGGGCCAGAGGGGGUGAGGGAGUCCACGGGGACCUAGGUGGAGAGGAAAAAGCAGGAGCCGGAAAGCUUUGAAGACGUGGAUUGGGGGUGGGGGAGAGGAAGGAGGAAGGGGUGGUGUUUUGAGAAUGAGUAGGUGUCUCCAGGAACUAUGACUGGGUGGAGCCCUGAGUUAAUCCUAGGGGGUGGAGGGGACAGGAUUAGGGAUUAAGGACUGAGGUGGGGUCAGAAUUUGGAAGAAAGCCAGGGACGUGGACCAGAUGAAGUUUGGAAAGAGUGAGAGAGUGGAGGUGUCACAAUGAGGAUAAAGAAUAGAGAUGGAUGGGGCGAGGGCUCACAUGGAAACUUGUACAGUCCUUAUUGAUGGAGUUCAGAUUUGGAUGUGGAGAUCAAAUCUAGUGUCAAAGGGUAACUUUUAAAACAUGGUCUUACCAUGACUCUCUGACAUAUAUGAAAUGAACAUGUGUCAAAGAUUG